CGCAUCUUGCGCUCUUUGGUAUUCCGAAGAGCAUGCCUGUUUGAGUGUCAUGAAAUCUCAAUCUCUAAGGUUUCUUAUUGAUUGGACUUGGGCGUUUGCCAGCGAUGGCUCGCCUUAAAAGUGUUAGCUGAUACGAGACGAAUCAUUGGCGUAAUAAGUUUCGCUAGUGUGCUGUCAACCGGUCGCUUCUAAUCGUCGCAAGACAAUCUCUUUGACUUUGACCUCAAAUCAGGUAGGACUACCCGCUGAACUUAA
rnacentral:misc_RNA from 1 species